rnacentral:lncRNA from 1 species
GUUACUUACUUUAAUAUACUAACUAAACUGGGCAUGUUUGGUUCAUGAUUGGAAUAGAAAUGAGAAAUGGAAUUAGAUUGCUUUGGAAUGGAAAAUAGAAUGACGAAUCAUCCAAAAAUGUUUGAUUCAUUAUUGGAAUGAGAAUCAGAAUGAAAAUUUAAAAUUUUUGAGGGAUAGUUUUGAUUAAGAGAGAGGAAAGUGAUGAAAGGAGAGGAGGUAGGUGUUGAUGAAAGAGAAUUUUAAAUAGUUUACUUUGGAAUGAGCCAAUCCGGGAUUUAAAGCAGGAUUGGAUCAUAAAUGGAUUUGGCUAUUCCCAUUCCGGAGUGGAAUGGGAAUCGGAAUCCGAUUCCUAUAAAACAAACGGCAACUAUCGGAAUCAAUAAAUUCCAUUCCGAUUCCAUAGUUCGAACCAAACAUGCCACGAAACAUUCGAAUUUUUAGGUCAAAAUAUCGUUGAUUAACUCAAACGAAAUAAAUUGAAAGGUUAAAUAGUAAAAUCAAAUUUUGGAAGAUUGGAUCGCUGACUCAAAAUAGUUUAUAAUUCAGAUAAAUUAUUUAUAUUUUUACUUUUUU